rnacentral:rRNA from 1 species
CAGUAGCCGCGGGAAUACGGAGGGUGCGAGCGUUAAUCGGAUUUACUGGGCGUAAAGCGCACGUAGGCGGACUUUUAAGUCAGGGGUGAAAUCCCGGGGCUCAACCCCGGAACUGCCUUUGAUACUGGAAGUCUUGAGUAUGGUAGAGGUGAGUGGAAUUCCGAGUGUAGAGGUGAAAUUCGUAGAUAUUCGGAGGAACACCAGUGGCGAAGGCGGCUCACUGGACCAUUACUGACGCUGAGGUGCGAAAGCGUGGGGAGCAAACAGGAUUAGAUACCCGUGUAGUCCCUGUCUCUUAUAC